CAGGGAGACAACAAAAUGUUUAAUAUUAUUAUUUUGUCACCUUAGGUCGAUCGGUACCUCACGUUUUUAAUUUAUUAAGAAUUUCAUUUCCUAAGUUUUUCUAGGUCACACCCAUUAUUUUUCCUGGGCCAUUAGCUCAGGUGGUUAGAGCGCACCCCUGAUAAGGGUGAGGUCUCUGGUUCAAGUCCAGGAUGGCCUAUAUCUCUAUGUUGGGGGUAUAGCUCAGUUGGUAGAGCGCCUGCUUUGCAAGCAGGAUGUCAGCGGUUCGAGUCCGCUUACCUCCACUGAUUACCACCUCUUCCAUAAAAUGUAGAAGGGAAAUCUUUUGAGUUGUGAUCACUUUCUGAACGAAUCUAGCUUCCUAAUGCAGUCAUUAAGAUGCUGGACUCAUUGAAUUAAUUUCAUUGUUUUCAGAGAACCUUGACNACUGCAUAGAUUAUUUUUAAAGACAAUAAGCAUCUUUAAAUGAUGCAGAUUUAUUAUUUGUGCGAAUGCAUUAAUAACAAUUCUAUUAAGCUGAUGCUUCAAUUUUGAAGUUAUU
rnacentral:tRNA from 1 species